AGGAGCUGCCCCCUUCAACUGUGCCAAUGGACUACACUUUGGCCGGGGAGCUGGAUCGGAUAUAUAGGAGCCGAAGUCAGGCUCCUUUAUGACCAGUAUCAGUGACGAGAGGGGCUUGGGGCUGCUCUAAGCUGCCAUGCCCAUCAGGCGUUGGCAAACACCUCCGAAGGGGAAAAAGAUGGGCAAAAGAGAUGCUUUUGAAAUUGAGUCCUCUGACUGGUUGACACUGAUGUCUGAAUAGGGAGAGACCUU